GAUGAACGCUGGCGGCGUGCCUAAUACAUGCAAGUCGAGCGAACGGACGAGAAGCUUGCUUCUCUGAUGUUAGCGGCGGACGGGUGAGUAACACGUGGAUAACCUACCUAUAAGACUGGGAUAACUUCGGGAAACCGGAGCUACUACCGGAUAAUAUUUUGAACCGCAUGGUUCAAAAGUGAAAGACGGUCUUGCUGUCACUUAUAGAUGGAUCCGCGCUGCAUUAGCUAGUUGGUAAGGUAACGGCUUACCAAGGCAACGAUGCAUAGCCGACCUGAGAGGGUGGUCGGCCACACUGGAACUGAGACACGGUCCAGACUCCUACGGGAGGCAGCAGUAGGGAAUCUUCCGCAAUGGGCGAAAGCCUGACGGAGCAACGCCGCGUGAGUGAUGAAGGUCUUCGGAUCGUAAAACUCUGUUAUUAGGGAAGAACAUAUGUGUAAGUAACUGUGCACAUCUUGACGGUACCUAAUCAGAAAGCCACGGCUAACUACGUG
rnacentral:rRNA from 1 species